GAGUGUACGGAGAUGGGAAUAAAAAACCGUGCAGGAGAGAAGCAUGCUCUCUUUUCGGCUCCCUGUUCUGUGGCGAAAGCUGUACUGAGUCACCUUGGUUGCCCGUUAUCUCUUACCAAAGAACAUCUUCUGUGAACUGUGAUGUACUUGCCUGGAAUACCUUGGAUGCUUUUCUGGUUCUCGCUCAAGGAUGCUGCUGCACUCCAUCAUGACUGCCACUUGAGCCUCAAGCCGACCCCUUGGCGACAUGGGACUGCAUAAUUGUACAGUGGCGCAGGAGUCCCCACACCAGGACAAGCUCCGGUUCCAGUAGCUGCACCAACCAGCGCAUACAACCGCCUUAAUUUUCUUAAUGCUGAUGAAAAAGGACAAAGUGCAGCAGAAAGGCACUGGACUACAGAGAAGACUU